rnacentral:misc_RNA from 1 species
ACGUUCCAUAUAAAGGUACCGCGCCGUCGCUCGUCGAUCUCAUCGCGGGCCGCGUUCAGUUCCUGAUGGGCGCGGUCCUGACGGCAGUGCCGCACGUGAAGGAGGGGCGGCUCCGUGCGCUCGCACUAACCGGCGGCAAGCGCAUCGCAUCGUUGCCCGACCUUCCGACUAUCGAGCAGGCGGGGCUGCCGGGAUUCGUGGUGACGACGUGGCAGGGCAUCUUUGCGCCGGCCGGCGUGCCGCGGCCGCUGCUCGA